GGGAAUAUUGGACAAUGGGGGGAACCCUGAUCCAGCAAUGCCGCGUGUGUGAAGAAGGCCUGCGGGUUGUAAAGCACUUUAGUGGGGGAGGAAGGCCUGGUUGUUAAUAGCAAGCGGGAUUGACGUUACUCCAAGAAUAAGCACCGGCUAACUCUGUGCCAGCAGCCGCGGUAAUACAGAGGGUGCAAGCGUUAAUCGGAAUGACUGGGCGUAAAGGGCGCGUAGGUGGUGAUACAAGUUAGAUGUGAAAGCCCUGGGCUUAACCUGGGAACUGCAUAUAAUACUGUAUGACUAGAGUAAAGUAGAGGGAAGUGGAAUUUCCGGUGUAGCGGUGAAAUGCGUAGAUAUCGGAAGGAACACCAGUGGCGAAGGCGGCUUCCUGGACUUAUACUGACACUGAGGCGCGAAAGCGUGGGGAGCAAACA
rnacentral:rRNA from 1 species